rnacentral:ncRNA from 1 species
UGAUAUGGUCGUAGUGUGACGAACAGUAUAAAAUAAAAAAACACACAUAGGGA